GCGUGGACAUUUUAGGAGUGGUCCUUCAUUCUACACUUGGGGGCCGGAAAGGCGGGGGGAGCGUUGCAGCCCACCCAAUGCCCGAGUGGGGCGGAGCAGCUCAGUUGGUCCGAGCUGAGCUCUGGCGUGGAGCGAUCCGAGAUGCAAAAAGCAGAGGCCCGGCCACGUCAGCACGACCACCUCGGGAACGUGGCUAGGGGACCCGGAGGAGGAGGAGGAGGAGGAGGAGGAGGUGCGGAUCGCGCCGCCGGAGUGCCGGCUGGAGCCAUGGAAAUCCCCUCCGGUCUGCUGCUGGAACCAUCCCUCUAUACUAUUAAAGCAAUUUUCAUUUUGGACAGCUUUGGACAACGACUUUUGGCCAAGUAUUAUGACAACACAUUUUCAUCAACAAAAGAACAGAAGAGCUUUGAGAGAAACGUCUUCAACAAAACUCAUAAGACAGACAGUGAGAUUGCUUUCUUGGAAGGCUUAACUAUAGUUUAUAAAAGCAGCAUUGAUCUUUUCUUUUAUGUGGUGGGAAGUUCCCAUGAAAAUGAGUUAAUGCUGAUGUCAGUUCUUUCCUGUCUCUUUGAAUCUCUCAGUCAUAUGCUGCGAAAGAAUGUGGAGAAGCGAACUCUGGUGGACAACAUGGAUGGGGUAUUUCUUGUAGUGGAUGAGAUUGUUGAUGGCGGUGUGAUUAUGGAAAGUGAUUCCCAGCAAGUCAUCCAGAAGCUGAAUUUUAGAACGAAUCCCGAGCCUGCAGCUUAUGGCUUCAUUCUCUUUGAUUAUAUCACCACUAAUUUGGACCACAAUGAAACUAUGCCGGAAAGAUUGUCCAAAUAUUGAAACAUCCCCCAAAGUGGGAAGCAGAAGUGGAUGACAGCUCUUUAUCAGAGCACAGCGUCACUCAGGUGCUGCAAUCUGCCAAAGAACAAAUUAAGUGGUCCUUAU